rnacentral:lncRNA from 1 species
CUCGGAGCCACCCAGCUGGGCCACCCGGGAACUGGCUGAGUCCGCAGAGCAAAGGGGCGGCGGCGGCGCCGAAAGCUGGAGCGCGCUGCGAGCCAGCGGCCACCGCACCGCCGGGAAGCGACGCCCACCUGUUUGCUCAGAUAUUGCCAUUUCCAGGCCAUGACACCUGCACCCUGAAUGGUGACUAGCCUUCUCACCCGAGUGACACAGCAAAACAUUGACUCUCCACUGGCAUCAGACAUACAGGAAUUAUGAAGGAUGAAACCAUCUCCCCCAGGCCUUCAAUAAGUGCAAGUGGAUUGCUUUGUAAACAGAAGUGCAAACUCGUUCCGAUAGUGGUUCCGCACCAGUGCUCGGCAGCCGCCCUGGCACAGCGGGCAGUAGAGACAGCUGCUGCACCUGUCGCCUAAGGCCGAGAGGGCCGGGAGGCCGCUCCUGGAGGGGGCGCACUGACCGGUGAUGCGCUCCUCCAGUCUCCAGGGCAUCUUUAGCUUCUCGGCCUCUGGGCUUCCCAGCUUGCUGCACACCUCGGGCCUGUACCCACUGCUGUCAGUUGAAAGCGUGCAUUCUGGAAAGCCACAGUGGGACAUCCCUAAUGCACACCCUUCCUUCUUCACCUUCUCCCUGGACACCUUUGCUAAGAGAUUUGGCUAAUUUCUUCUCCUGUGGUUGCUGGUAAUUCUCCUGGUAAUUCCUUUGCCCUAAU